rnacentral:lncRNA from 1 species
CGGCGAUGCUCCAAACCCCCCAUAUUCACACUAUACAACCCUAAGCCUUUCCCCAACACCAUUCCACUAUCUAUCCCCCAAAACACCAACCAAUUCCAUCAUUUUUAGAUCUUAAGUCUGACCCUAAAAAUCCUAAAUUAUCCAAGCAACCCCAAAAUCACACCCCAUAAUCUGCUAUCCCUCCUCAUCCCGUAUUCUAUUUUAGUUCCUCUCAAAACACCCUGAAACUCUUCAAAUUUUAGAUCUAAAAAUGGUCUAAAAUGUUGGGUCUUUUCUACGAUAUCUCCAUUGAUAUUAGCAUGCCUUGAGUAUAAAACUGACAUUAGCUAAUGGCUUUUUGUCUUUACUAGAGUCUACUGGAUUCUUAAAGUAUUUCCUAC